rnacentral:misc_RNA from 1 species
AAUAACUAUAAAUUGGGUGGUGCAGUAUUCUAGUCAGUCCUCCGUUUCUGAAGACGGGCCUAAAAAUCCGUCAAAGGGCACAUCGAUGAAGUCCCUGGCGUUGGCUUGAGGCGCCCAGCCUUGGGUUGAUGCUGGGGGUUAAGGUUGCAGGGCGAUCCACAAUGGCAUGUGGGCGUUGACCCUGCUUCCGUGGAGGCCCAUUUAUGUAGGAAUUUCAUCCUAUGGGAUGGGGUAUGAACCUGUGUUGGUCUCGUUUUUGGUAGUUGAGAUUCAAACAGCGUAGCCUGCCUUGAGUGGAGUUAAGGGGAUUAUGGUUCGAGAUUCAUACAUCAGUUGGCCAUUGAUAUAUGAGUCAAAGGUUAGCCCAUAUGAAAUUAACUCUGCAAAAGAGGCUAGGAAAUGGUUAAGGACUGUUUGAGGAAAACUCCUAGGCUGUUCUAAAUGGACAUAUGAAUAGGAUUGCAGUACGGACUAAGUGGUAAUCCAGUCUAGCAUUC